CCUCAUCCCAUCGGGCAGCAUCAAUAUCAAGGCAAGCUCUGUUAUGUCUAACGCAGAAGGCUGGAAUUUAGUUAAUUUUAUCAUUUUAGGUGAUUCAACCCUUUUAAUAAAAAGAGGGGACCUUGGGGCUGGUGGCGUCACAGAUAACGAGUGUGGACAGCAGCAGCAGAUGGGUGACCUUGUUCUGCUCGCUAACUCCUUUCCUUCCCCUCCGCCCUUCCACACCCCCUCCCUUGAUUUCGUUUUCGAGUCCAAGGUUUUAACACCAGGAGGGGAAGGAACAAUUAGACAGCCAAGCCUUGGGAAAAUGCUGCUUCAGGGCAAUGGGCCUCUGCUCAUCCGGGUCUGCGGCCUUCAGACAGUGCCCGACUUCGGGCCUGGCAUCCACAGGAGGAAGAGGGCAGCCAGCCUGGCCCCCCAGGGACGGAGGGUGGCAGAAUGCCCAGGACCAGCCCAGCACUGGCAUUUGGGGGAGAAAUUCCAGACUGAGGAGACAGCUAGAGAAGAAGGGAGGCAUGGAAAUCCCUACAGGUUUCAACAGUUAUCCUUCAAAGCAGACGCGAAACUGGGGAUGUUAACAGGAGGGCCGGCUCAGACCGAAACCAAGCCAGAGCAGAAACAAACAGCCAGGCAUCUUCGCUGGCCAGCCCCACCAGGUCAACAUCUGGGUGCCCAGCUGCUUUCUGCCUGCCAAGGCCAUGUUCCUUCUCCUCCGUCACCACUUCUCAGUGUCCUGGGUUAG
rnacentral:lncRNA from 1 species